CUACGGGCCGCACCAGUGGGGAAUUUUGCGCAAUGGGGGAAACCCUGACGCAGCAAUACCGCGUGAGUGAAGAAGGCCUUUGGGUCGUAAAGCUCUUUUCUUGGGGAAGAUAGUGACGGUACCCAAGGAAUAAGCACCGGCUAACUCCGUGCCAGCAGCCGCGGUAAUACGGAGGUUGCAAGCGUUGUUCGGAUUUACUGGGCGUAAAGGCACGUAGGCGGCACAGCAAGUUAAGGGUGAAAUCCCGGGGCUCAACUCCGGAACUGCUCUUAAAACUGCUGAGCUAGAGAUAGUCAGAGGCGGGUGGAAUUCCAGGUGUAGAGGUGAAAUUCGUAGAUAUCUGGAGGAACACCGGUGGCGAAGGCGGCCCGCUGGGGCUAUUCUGACGCUAAGGUGCGAAAGCGUGGGGAGCAAACGGGAUUAGAUACCCGUGUAGUC
rnacentral:rRNA from 1 species